rnacentral:rRNA from 1 species
UACGGAGGGUCCGAGCGUUAAUCGGAAUUACUGGGCGUAAAGCGUGCGCAGGCGGUUUGUUAAGCGAGAUGUGAAAGCCCCUGGGCUCAACCUAGGAAUAGCAUUUCGAACUGGCGAACUAGAGUCUUGUAGAGGGGGGUAGAAUUCCAGGUGUAGCGGUGAAAUGCGUAGAGAUCAGGAGGAAUACCGGUGGCGAAGGCGGCCCCCUGGACAAAGAACUGGCGCUCAUGCACGAAAGACGUGGGGAGGCAAACAGGAUUAGAUACCCCCGUAGU